GCAGCCGCCACGGUAAUACGGAGGGUGCAAGCGUUAAUCGGAAUUACUGGGCGUAAAGCGCACGCAGGCGGUCUGACAAGUCAGAUGUGAAAUCCCCGGGCUUAACCUGGGAACUGCAUUUGAAACUGUCAGGCUGGAGUCUUGUAGAGGGGGGUGGAAUUCCAGGUGUAGCGGUGAAAUGCGUAGAGAUCUGGAGGAAUACCGGUGGCGAAGGCGGCCCCCUGGACAAAGACUGACGCUCAGGUGCGAAAGCGUGGGGAGCAAACAGGAUUAGAUACCCGUGUAGUCCCUGUCUCUUAUAC
rnacentral:rRNA from 1 species